AAGUGCGAUUAUACCAGCACUAAUGCUCUUUAUCCCAUAAGAACUCCACAAUUAUGCAUGUUUAGGCAAGAGCAAUACUAGGAUGGGUGACCUCCUCGGAAGUCCUCGUGUUACACCUC
rfam:Lupinus angustifolius cultivar Tanjil chromosome LG03, whole genome shotgun sequence.